UAUCGAGGGCCGGGCAUUAUUUGGAAUAUGUAGAGGGUUACUGGUGACAAGUCCAUCAUUGAUGUGUAUUGUUUGUGAUGUGCCACAUUUCAUAUGAGCAUAUGUUUAUUAAACUAUUUUUUUAUGGUUCUGCUCAGUAGGUUCUUAUAGCUUAUCUCUUUCCCCUAAUCCAUGUUUGCAGGGUCAAAAAUAGCUCGGGAAGUCGGCUAGAGGCUGGUAUAAGUUAUGUAAUAGUAUAGUAGUGGACAUGUGCUAUGUAAUGGAUUAGAUUUGUGUUUUGCCCUAGCUUAUGUUUUUUGUAAAUCCCUGUGAACAUGACUAUUAUGAAAAGGUUUUUUUUAUGAUGAGUUAUGUUGUACCAAGCUUGAUGUAUGUGAUGUUGACCAUACUAGAGGAUUUGAUGAGGGCUCUAGUGUGGGGUUUUAUGUAUACAGUAUAUGAUGAAUGCACA
rnacentral:lncRNA from 1 species